rnacentral:rRNA from 1 species
UACAGAGGUCUCAAGCGUUGUUCGGAUUCAUUGGGCGUAAAGGGUGCGUAGGCGGCGCGGUAAGUCGGGUGUGAAAUCUCGGAGCUUAACUCCGAAACUGCAUUCGAUACUGCCGUGCUUGAGGACUGGAGAGGAGACUGGAAUUUACGGUGUAGCGGUGAAAUGCGUAGAUAUCGUAAGGAAGACCAGUGGCGAAGGCGGCACUCUGGGCCGGUACUGACGCUGAGGAGCGAAAGCGUGGGGAGCGAACAGG